rnacentral:lncRNA from 1 species
GCAUCUCGGCUCGCUGAAACUUCGACUUUCCUGGUUCAAGCGAUUCUCCUGCCUCAGCUUCCCGAGUAGCCGGGAUUACAGGCAUGCGCCACCACACCCAGCUAAUUUUUGUAUUUUUAGUAGAGACGGGGUUUCAUCAUGUUGGCCAGGAUGGUCUCGAUCUCCUGACCUCGUGAUUUGCCUGCCUCAGCCUCCCAAAGAGCUGGGAUUACAGGUGUGACCCACCGAGCCCAGCCUUCCCUGACUUCUUAUGUUUUCUCUUUGAAUCCCAGCUUAAGCCCUCAGGGCCACCCUCCUGGACCUCCAGUGGGUUCCAUUGAUUUGUGCUCUUUUUUCCCCUUUAAGACCUUACCACCAUUUGUAUAAGGCACUCAUUAUUAAGAUCUGACUCUCUUCUAGACUGUUAAACAAGGUAAGUUUUCAGUCUUUUUUAGGAGCUCUAAGAGGUUUUAUUUCCAUAGGUUAUUUCCAUCUCAUCCUUCCCACCGAGAUUGUGGGCAUCCUAGGAAAGGGUGAGACAGUGUCUGAGGUCCCUAACCUACCCACAGGUCACUCCCCAAAGCCCAUCCUAGGACCUGAUCAGGAAACAUUUAAACAUCAGAUUUUCCCCUGUGAAAAGAGGAGGUCAUUGAGAGAAGAAUCUGUCUUUUUUGUCUUUUUCCUUCUCCAUGUUUCUGAAGUGGAUAAUGAUCACCAAAGGUUUUGUUGUUUACCUUGUGUUCCCAUCCCCCUGUUUGUUUUGGAGAGCUUCUCCUCUCUCUAUGCAGCCCUGGUAGAGCCAUCAUCAUGUGCUCCCACCCAGGGGUGGGCAUAGAAUCUAUUCCAGCCAAUCAGAAUAUCUUCAUUACCUUGGUCACAGUGAUUGGUUCAAGAAUUGACAUGUGACCCAAGCAAAGCCA